GCAGUCGUGACCGAGUGGUUAAGGCGAUGGACUAAAAAUCCAUUGGGAUCUCCCCGCACUGGAUUUCCGAACUCUGUCGACUGCG
rnacentral:tRNA from 1 species